UGAAUGGGGCUCUGUGAGGCAUCUUGCAGCUCCCUCGACAAUGCUCUGCCCGUACACUCUGUUCUCGUGGUUUCUGUCUCCUCUUCUGUGUUUACAGGGUUGGGCAGCUGCUACAGCCCUUGCCUCUUCCCUGAGUGCCUCAGAGUGACAGAGAUGAAGAAGCCACUUGGCUCUAGGAAGUGUGGCCUGGCUUUGAUAUGGUUUGGCUUUGUGUCCCCACCUAAAUCUCAUCUGGAAUUGUAAUCCCCCAUGUGUAGACGGAGGGAGGUGAUUGGAUCAUGGAGGCAGUUUCCCCCAAGCUGUUCUCAUGAUAAAGGUGACUGCUUCCCCUUCUGCCAUGAUUAUGAGUUUCCUGAGGCCUCCCCAGCCAUGCGGAACUGCAGCUCACUAUGAGGCUAUCACAAAUCAAUGGAAGCACAUUUGGUGAAGAGUACAGGCCCAUCAGAGGAUACCACUGAAUCCAUGCUCCACAGCAGUUCCCAGCAAGCUGCACUCUUCGAAGGCGGGAUGCUGAAACCUCUGCCCCCACCCCCUACAUUAGCUUUAUAUCCAAAUGUGACUCGGAGGCUGGUGAGCUCAAGGUGAUCAAUGACAGCUCCAAUCAAAGCCACCCAGUAGACAGUGCACUCACCACUCCUUGAUAUAAAAGGUGUUUUAUUUCUCAUCCUUUUAUUUUUGUCACUGAAAGAAUGCUUCCCAUGUGUGGAUUAAUUAAAGUGUAAACAUUAAAUAUUGAUUGAUGCAUUAUCAGCAUGG
rnacentral:lncRNA from 1 species